rnacentral:rRNA from 1 species
UACGAAGGGGGCUAGCGUUGCUCGGAAUCACUGGGCGUAAAGGGUGCGUAGGCGGGUCUUUAAGUCAGGGGUGAAAUCCUGGAGCUCAACUCCAGAACUGCCUUUGAUACUGGGGAUCUUGAGUCCGGAAGAGGUGAGUGGAACUGCGAGUGUAGAGGUGAAAUUCGUAGAUAUUCGCAAGAACACCGGUGGCGAAGGCGGCUCACUGGUCCGGAAACUGA